CGGGGAAGGGGGGGAUCUUCGGACCUCUCGCUAUUAGAUGAGCCCGCGUCGGAUUAGCUAGUUGGUAGGGUAAAGGCCUACCAAGGCGACGAUCCGUAACUGGUCUGAGAGGAUGAUCAGUCACACUGGAACUGAGACACGGUCCAGACUCCUACGGGAGGCAGCAGUGGGGAAUAUUGGACAAUGGGCGAAAGCCUGAUCCAGCCAUGCCGCGUGUGUGAAGAAGGUCUUCGGAUUGUAAAGCACUUUAAGUUGGGAGGAAGGGUAGUAACCUAAUACGUUGCUACUUUGACGUUACCGACAGAAUAAGCACCGGCUAACUUCGUG
rnacentral:rRNA from 1 species